AUUGAACGCUGGCGGCAGGCCUAACACAUGCAAGUCGAACGAGCGGCGGACGGGUGAGUAAUGUCUGGGAAACUGCCUGAUGGAGGGGGAUAACUACGGGAAACGGUAGCUAAUACCGCAUACCAUCAGAUGUGCCCAGAUGGGAUUAGCUAGUAGGGGGGGUAAAGGCUCACCUAGGCGACGAUCCCCAGCUGGUCUGAGAGGAUGACCAGCCACACUGGAAAUGAGCCACGGUCCAGACUCCUACGGGAGGCAGCAGUGGGGAAUAUUGCACAAUGGGCGCAAGCCUGAUGCAGCCAUGCCGCGUGGAUGAAGAAGGCCUUCGGGUUGUAAAGCACUUUCAGCGAGGAGGCGUUACUCGCAGAAGAAGCACCGGCUAACUCCGUGCCAGCAGCCGCGGUAAUUC
rnacentral:rRNA from 1 species